rnacentral:rRNA from 1 species
CGGGACACGUGGUAUCCUGUCUGAAUAUGGGGGGACCAUCCUCCAAGGCUAAAUACUCCUGACUGACCGAUAGUGAACCAGUACCGUGAGGGAAAGGCGAAAAGAACCCCGGCGAGGGGAGUGAAAAAGAACCUGAAACCGUGUACGUACAAGCAGUGGGAGCACGCUUAGGCGUGUGACUGCGUACCUUUUGUAUAAUGGGUCAGCGACUUAUAUUCUGUAGCAAGGUUAACCGAAUAGGGGAGCCGAAGGGAAACCGAGUCUUAACUGGGCGUUAAGUUGCAGGGUAUAGACCCGAAACCCGGUGAUCUAGCCAUGGGCAGGUUGAAGGUUGGGUAACACUAACUGGAGGACCGAACCGACUAAUGUUGAAAAAUUAGCGGAUGACUUGUGGCUGGGGGUGAAAGGCCAAUCAAACCGGGAGAUAGCUGGUUCUCCCCGAAAGCUAUUUAGGUAGCGCCUCGUGAAUUCAUCUCCGGGGGUAGAGCACUGUUUCGGCAAGGGGGUCAUCCCGACUUACCAACCCGAUGCAAACUGCGAAUACCGGAGAAUGUUAUCACGGGAGACACACGGCGGGUGCUAACGUCCGUCGUGAAGAGGGAAACAACCCAGACCGCCAGCUAAGGUCCCAAAGUCAUGGUUAAGUGGGAAACGAUGUGGGAAGGCCCAGACAGCCAGGAUGUUGGCUUAGAAGCAGCCAUCAUUUAAAGAAAGCGUAAUAGCUCACUGGUCGAGUCGGCCUGCGCGGAAGAUGUAACGGGGCUAAACCAUGCACCGAAGCUGCGGCAGCGACGCUUAUGCGUUGUUGGGUAGGGGAGCGUUCUGUAAGCCUGCGAAGGUGUGCUGUGAGGCAUGCUGGAGGUAUCAGAAGUGCGAAUGCUGACAUAAGUAACGAUAAAGCGGGUGAAAAGCCCGCUCGCCGGAAGACCAAGGGUUCCUGUCCAACGUUAAUCGGGGCAGGGUGAGUCGACCCCUAAGGCGAGGCCGAAAGGCGUAGUCGAUGGGAAACAGGUUAAUAUUCCUGUACUUGGUGUUACUGCGAAGGGGGGACGGAGAAGGCUAUGUUGGCCGGGCGACGGUUGUCCCGGUUUAAGCGUGUAGGCUGGUUUUCCAGGCAAAUCCGGAAAAUCAAGGCUGAGGCGUGAUGACGAGGCACUACGGUGCUGAAGCAACAAAUGCCCUGCUUCCAGGAAAAGCCUCUAAGCAUCAGGUAACAUCAAAUCGUACCCCAAACCGACACAGGUGGUCAGGUAGAGAAUACCAAGGCGCUUGAGAGAACUCGGGUGAAGGAACUAGGCAAAAUGGUGCCGUAACUUCGGGAGAAGGCACGCUGAUAUGUAGGUGAAGUCCCUCGCGGAUGGAGCUGAAAUCAGUCGAAGAUACCAGCUGGCUGCAACUGUUUAUUAAAAACACAGCACUGUGCAAACACGAAAGUGGACGUAUACGGUGUGACGCCUGCCCGGUGCCGGAAGGUUAAUUGAUGGGGUCAGCGCAAGCGAAGCUCUUGAUCGAAGCCCCGGUAAACGGCGGCCGUAACUAUAACGGUCCUAAGGUAGCGAAAUUCCUUGUCGGGUAAGUUCCGACCUGCACGAAUGGCGUAAUGAUGGCCAGGCUGUCUCCACCCGAGACUCAGUGAAAUUGAACUCGCUGUGAAGAUGCAGUGUACCCGCGGCAAGACGGAAAGACCCCGUGAACCUUUACUAUAGCUUGACACUGAACAUUGAGCCUUGAUGUGUAGGAUAGGUGGGAGGCUUUGAAGUGUGGACGCCAGUCUGCAUGGAGCCGACCUUGAAAUACCACCCUUUAAUGUUUGAUGUUCUAACGUUGACCCGUAAUCCGGGUUGCGGACAGUGUCUGGUGGGUAGUUUGACUGGGGCGGUCUCCUCCUAAAGAGUAACGGAGGAGCACGAAGGUUGGCUAAUCCUGGUCGGACAUCAGGAGGUUAGUGCAAUGGCAUAAGCCAGCUUGACUGCGAGCGUGACGGCGCGAGCAGGUGCGAAAGCAGGUCAUAGUGAUCCGGUGGUUCUG